rnacentral:rRNA from 1 species
GAUGAACGCUGGCGGCGUGCCUAAUACAUGCAAGUCGAGCGAACAGAUGAGGAGCUUGCUCCUCUGACGUUAGCGGCGGACGGGUGAGUAACACGUGGAUAACCUACCUAUAAGACUGGGAUAACUUCGGGAAACCGGAGCUAAUACCGGAUAAUAUAUUGAACCGCAUGGUUAAUUAGUGAAAGACGGUUUUGCUGUCACUUAUAGAUGGAUCCGCGCCGCAUUAGCUAGUUGGUAAGGUAACGGCUUACCAAGGCAACGAUGCGUAGCCGACCUGAGAGGGUGAUCGGCCACACUGGAACUGAGACACGGUCCAGACUCCUACGGGAGGCAGCAGUAGGGAAUCUUCCGCAAUGGGCGAAAGCCUGACGGAGCAACGCCGCGUGAGUGAUGAAGGUCUUCGGAUCGUAAAACUCUGUUAUUAGGGAAGAACAAAUGUGUAAGUAACUAUGCACGUCUUGACGGUACCUAAUCAGAAAGCCACGGCUAACUACGUG